rnacentral:sRNA from 1 species
GCGGAGGAAAAGAAACCAACAGGGAUUGCCCUAGUAACGGCGAGUGAAGCGGCAACAGCUCAAAUUUGAAAUCUGGCGUCUUUGGCGUCCGAGUUGUAAUUUGCAGAGGGCGCUUUGGCGUUGGCAGCGGUCCAAGUUCCUUGGAACAGGACGUCACAGAGGGUGAGAAUCCCGUACGUGGUCGCUGGCCUUCGCCGUGUAAAGCCCCUUCGACGAGUCGAGUUGUUUGGGAAUGCAGCUCUAAAUGGGAGGUAAAUUUCUUCUAAAGCUAAAUACUGGCCAGAGACCGAUAGCGCACAAGUAGAGUGAUCGAAAGAUGAAAAGCACUUUGGAAAGAGAGUCAAACAGCACGUGAAAUUGUUAAAAGGGAAGCGCUUGCAGCCAGACUUGCCUGUAGUUGCUCAUCCGGACUUUUGUCCGGUGCACUCUUCUAUAGGCAGGCCAGCAUCAGUUUGGGCGGUUGGAUAAAGGUCUCUGUCAUGUACCUCUCUUCGGGGAGAACUUAUAGGGGAGACGACAUGCAACCAGCCUGGACUGAGGUCCGCGCAUUUGCUAGGAUGCUGGCGUAAUGGCUGUAAGCGGCCCGUCUUGAAACACGGACCAAGGAGUCUAACAUCUAUGCGAGUGUUUGGGUGUCAAGCCCGAACGCGUAAUGAAAGUGAACGGAGGUGGGAACCUUUCGGGGUGCACCAUCGACCGAUCCUGAUGUCUUCGGAUGGAUUUGAGUAAGAGCAUAGCUGUUGGGACCCGAAAGAUGGUGAACUAUGCUUGAAUAGGGUGAAGCCAGAGGAAACUCUGGUGGAGGCUCGCAGCGGUUCUGACGUGCAAAUCGAUCGUCAAAUUUGGGCAUAGGGGCGAAAGACUAAUCGAACUAUCUAGUAGCUGGUUCCUGCG